rnacentral:rRNA from 1 species
GGGCCCGCACAAGCGGUGGAGCAUGUGGUUUAAUUCGAUGCAACGCGAAGAACCUUACCUACACUUGACAUGCUGAGAAGUUACUAGAGAUAGUUUCGUGCCUUCGGGAACUCAGACACAGGUGCUGCAUGGCUGUCGUCAGCUCGUGUCGUGAGAUGUUGGGUUAAGUCCCGCAACGAGCGCAACCCUUGUCCUUAGUUGCCAGCCUUAAGUUGGGCACUCUAAGGAGACUGCCGGUGACAAACCGGAGGAAGUGGGGACGACGUCAAGUCAUCAUGGCCCUUACGUGUAGGGCUACACACGUGCUACAAUGGCAUUUACAGAGGGAAGCGAGACAGUGAUGUGAG